rnacentral:lncRNA from 1 species
GCUCUCCAGCUUCCUCGGCUUCAUCCUCCCAAGCUUCACGGCAUCCAAGAUGAUCCUUCCAUUCGGAAGAGCCACGAAACAGAGGAGAGAGGGCUGGGAGGCUAUAAAAGCAGGAGAGCUUUCUUUGGGAUUCAUUCCUCCUUCCCCAACGGGAGGCAUUCCCUCUUCCCCCACCGGGGGCUGCUCCCAUCAUUCCCUCACAGGCCAAAUCCCACGGGAAGA